CCUACGGGUGGCUGCAGUCAAGAAUAUUCCGCAAUGCACGAAAGUGUGACGGAGCGACGCCGCGUGGUGGAUGAAGGCUUUCGGGUCGUAAACACCUUUUAUUAGGGACGAACAAAUGACGGUACCUAAUGAAUAAGAGGUUGCUAACUCUGUGCCAGCAGCAGCGGUAAUACAGAGACCUCAAGCGUUAUCCGGAUUUAUUGGGCGUAAAGGGUCCGCAGGCGGUUUAGUCAGUCCUAUGUUAAAUCUUCAGGCUCAACCUGGAGACCGCGUGGGAUACUGCUAGACUAGAGGAUGGGAGAGGUGCAUGGAAUUGUCGGUGUAGGGGUAAAAUCCGUUAAGAUCGACAAGAACACCAAAUGCGAAGGCAGUGCACUGGAACAUUCCUGACGCUCAGGGACGAAAGCGUGGGUAGCGAAUGGGAUUAGAUACCCCAGUAGUC
rnacentral:rRNA from 1 species